ACUAUUAAAAGUUAUAUCAUAAAUGAUUAUAGUUUAAAAAUAUAUAUUAAUUUUAUAUUAAUUUUAUACAGUAUUAACUUCGUAUGCAAUCACUACAAAAUUGCCAGCAUGCGGGAUAAAAUGGCUGACAGUGAUAUAUGAUAACAAACGAACGAAGAGGUUCAAGAACGAGUGACGUGGAUGUCUCUCCGGUUCGACUCAUAUACUCUACCUGUGCUGAUCUGACGUCACGGAUAUGCUUCUUAUCAGGUAGAAGCGCCAACACCUGUAAG